rnacentral:rRNA from 1 species
CGCGGCCUAUCAGCUUGUUGGUGGGGUCACGGCCCACCAAGGCGACGACGGGUAGCCGGCCUGAGAGGGCGACCGGCCACACUGGGACUGAGACACGGCCCAGACUCCUACGGGAGGCAGCAGUGGGGAAUAUUGCGCAAUGGGCGAAAGCCUGACGCAGCGACGCCGCGUGAGGGACGAAGGCCUUCGGGUUGUAAACCUCUUUCAGCAGGGACGAAGCGAAAGUGACUGUACCUGCAGAAGAAGCACCGGCUAACUACGUGCCAGCAGCCGCGGUAAUACGUAGGGUGCGAGCGUUGUCCGGAAUUAUUGGGCGUAAAGAGCUCGUAGGCGGUCUGUUACGUCGGAUGUGAAAACUCGGGGCUCAACCCCGAGCCUGCAUUCGAUACGGGCAGACUAGAGUUCGGUAGGGGAGACUGGAAUUCCUGGUGUAGCGGUGAAAUGCGCAGAUAUCAGGAGGAACACCGGUGGCGAAGGCGGGUCUCUGGGCCGAUACUGACGCUGAGGAGCGAAAGCGUGGGGAGCGAACAGGAUUAGAUACCCUGGUAGUCCACGCCGUAAACGUUGGGCGCUAGGUGUGGGGGACUUUCCACGUCCUCUGUGCCGCAGCUAACGCAUUAAGCGCCCCGCCUGGGGA